rnacentral:rRNA from 1 species
UAGGGAAUCUUCGGCAAUGGGGGGAACCCUGACCGAGCAACGCCGCGUGAGUGAAGAAGGUUUUCGGAUCGUAAAGCUCUGUUGUUAAGGAAGAACGAGUGUGAGAAUGGAAAGUUCAUACUGUGACGGUACUUAACCAGAAAGGGACGGCUAACUACGUGCCAGCAGCCGCGGUAAUACGUAGGUCCCGAGCGUUGUCCGGAUUUAUUGGGCGUAAAGCGAGCGCAGGCGGUUAGAUAAGUCUGAAGUUAAAGGCAGUGGCUCAACCAUUGUAGGCUUUGGAAACUGUUUAACUUGAGUGCAGAAGGGGAGAGUGGAAUUCCAUGUGUAGCGGUGAAAUGCGUAGAUAUAUGGAGGAACACCGGUGGCGAAAGCGGCUCUCUGGUCUGUAACUGACGCGGAGGCUCGAAAGCGUGGCGAGCGAACAGG